rnacentral:ncRNA from 1 species
GCAAGUCUAAGUACGAGCUCUCGUACAGUGAAACUGCGAAUGGCUUUCUAAAUCAGUUAUGGUUCAUUUGAUCGUACAGUUUACUUGGAUAACUGUGGUAAUUCUAGAGCUAAUACAUGCGAGAAGCGCCGACCUCGCGGGAGGCGUGCAUUUAUCAGACCAAAAACCGGCCGCGUCUUCGGGCGCGUUCGCCUUGGUGACUCUGGAUAACUUUGCGGAUCGCACGGUCUAGCACCGGCGACGGAUCAUUCAAGUGUCUGCCCUAUCAACUUUCGUCGGUACGGUAUUUGCCUACCGAGGUUCUUACGGGUGACGGGGAAUCAGGGUUCGAUUCCGGAGAGGGAGCCUGAGAAACGGCUACCACAUCCAAGGAAGGCAGCAGGCGCGCAAAUUACCCAUUCCCGACGCGGGGAGGUAGUGACGAAAAAUAACAAUGCAGGACUCGUUCGAGGCCCUGUAAUUGGAAUGAGUACACUUUAAAAGCUUUAACGAGUAUCCAUUGGAGGGCAAGUCUGGUGCCAGCAGCCGCGGUAAUUCCAGCUCCAAAAGUAUAUAUUUAAGUUGUUGCGGUUAAAAAGCUCGUAGUUGGAUUUUGGGCGCAGGCGGCCGGUCCGUCGCAAGGCGUGUACUGGACGUCCUGGCCUUCCCUCCGGUUCUCCGCCGGUGCUCUUGACUGAGUGUCGGCGGCGGCCGGAACGUUUACUUUGAAAAAA